CGGCGAGUGAACCGGGAUGAGCUCAAAUUUAAAAUCUGGCGUCUUUCAGGCGUCCGAGUUGUAAUCUAUAGAGGCGUUUUCCGCGCCGGACCGCGUCCAAGUCUCUUGGAAUAGAGUAUCAAAGAGGGUGACAAUCCCGUACUUGACGCGACAACCGGUGCUCUGUGAUACGUUCUCAAUGAGUCGAGUUGUUUGGGAAUGCAGCUCUAAAUGGGUGGUAAAUUCCAUCUAAGGCUAAAUAUUGGCGAGAGACCGAUAGCGAACAAGUACCGUGAGGGAAAGAUGAAAAGCACUUUGGAAAGAGAGUUAAACAGCACGUGAAAUUGUUAAAAGGGAAACGAUUGAAGUCAGUCGUGUGAAAGGUAUUCAGCCGUCUCUGGCGGUGUAUUUGCCUUUCACGGGUCAACAUCAGUUUGAUCCGGUAGAAAAAGGCAGGAGGAAGGUGGCACCCUCGGGUGUGUUAUAGCCUCUUGUCAUAUGUGCCGGACCAGACUGAGGAACGCAGCUUGCCGCAAGGCCGGGGUUCGCCCACGUACAAGCUUAGGAU
rnacentral:rRNA from 1 species